ensembl:lncRNA
GUCAGCUAAAAUGCAGGCUGCUGUCUGUAAGAUGUCUUCACUGGUGAUCGGAGAGCAGAAACCCUCCCUGUGGCCCUUACAGGAGAGAACUGAGAGGUCUGCUUGCAUGGCAUUAAGAGCGAAAAUGCUGGGUGACUGGCAGAUUCUGUUAUGCUGUGGUGGAAAUUUUUUCCAUUAGCUUGUUUUUAUUUUUAGAGAACAUCAUUGAAACCUAAAAGCCAUUGUCAUUGAGUCAAGAAAAGAUUUUGAUAUCUCUGAAGGGAAAAAGGAGUAAAACCUUUAGAUACUCCAGCAUCUCAAGCCACGUUUGUCUUCCACCCAGUGACAUGAGGUUCCUGAAAGUUUUCCAGGUGAUGGCAGAGAUGAUUCCCCAGGCUUACCUGGUCCCUAGUGUUCAUGACCAGCGUGAGAUAAGCUCCCUAUUCCUGGGUUCAUAUGGAUACACGAUCUGGAAUCCUGGACAAUUUUCCUCUCAAGCAACAAGUAAAUUUUAGGAGGGUCCUGUGAAUCGCUGACUGGAGCACAGCAGCCCUCAAGGCAUCUGACCUGCAGUCUGCCCCAGCUCUUUCUUUAAGUGGCCAAGAGCAUCAGGCUAUGAGAACUUAAAACUCAAAAUGCCAGAUUUUUUGUACAGCCUGUCGCUAUUUUCUUCUUGGCUCCCAGAUUCUGGUGACUUCUGACUUCCUGUAAUUAGGCUUUUCUGGGCUAAAAUCUAGAGAGUCCUUAAACGAAAGGGCUGUCUUACCUGUUAUAAAUGAGAACCCCCCCAAAUUAAAGUGCUUGAUUCUUCUACCCUGUUACUUUUUCACUUAUUUUCCUAUCUCUUUGAAGGUCAUCAGUAUUUAGGCAUUAAAGAGAAACCUGAAGAGAAAGUAGACAAGAAUGGUAUUUUGAAAGCUUGAAGGAUUUGAGAAGUAGGCCAGAUACUCAGGAUAGAUACGCAACUCCUCUACAAAUUAAUACCUAUAAUCAUUUCAUCUUAUUAUAAAUAAAUAAAGCUUACUAAUUUGAUUGUAGGAUAAAGAUCAUUAUAAGAUAUUUUGAUAAAGUUGGUAAUAUCUAAUGUUGAUUGACAUGAAAGAAAGCAUCAGAUGUUCUUACACAGAGAUUUAGGGGCACUUUUCAACUCAAAGAAAUCCUGAUGAAGUUGGCUGCUCUCCAGGCCUUUGCUGUUCAGGAGAGGAACACACCAUCAAUAAGAAAAUGCAGGUAUAUAUGGAAGUGGAUUCAAUGUGGCGCUUUGCCUGUGGUUCAUUUGAUUAACUCUUCUGGAGAAUGGUAAUAUCUUUCAUUUCUUAAUCUAAAAUUCUAAGUUGAUACACAACAACAUUAAUUUUGUAGAGUCUAAAAUUUCAAACUUAGAGAUCUUCAGUGCAAUGCGUGCAUUCAUUUUGCUGGAACCUCAAGGCACUUGCGCAGAGCCUCUAGGGACUGACCAGGAAGGCCCAGCAGAGCCCUCCCUUCGUCAUCCACAGACUCUUACACAUGCCUCUGUCGUGGGACUUAGUCAGCACACUUUUGUUUGUGCAUAUCUCUGUCUCCUUACUUAGACUGUUAUUGGUGGAUUAUGUUUUAUUCCCAUAUCUAAUGCAGUGCCUGGCACAUAUAAUUCCUCAAAAAAGUGCAGAAUAAAUGAAGAAACAACUUAUAUCAUGCAAGUACCUCUUAGCAAGUCAAUACCACAGCACAGCUCCUUGAGAAACCAUGGCUACACAAAGCAAGAUAGGUUCCUGGUGUAGCAGCUGUUCAGUCACUAGGUGCUUAGAUAGAGAUACUAUUUCUAUGUCCAGGUAACAGGUUAUGAGGAGUGAGGGUGAGGUCUGUGCCACAGGAGCAGCACAUAAGCAGCAAAAGUCUGCAAAGAUAAAACCGCUCCCGGCCCGGCUGCGGGAGUUUGGUGAGACAUCUGUUGUGAGGUUGUGUGAGCUGGCCUCCCUCUCCCCAGUAAUAAACUACCACGUAGGAAACAUGGAGGAAAGGGCCCAGUUUUCAAUCUCAGUGUAGCCAUUUCGUAGGUCUAACAUCUCAGCAAGUCCCUUAACUACAUUGAGCCCCCCAAAUCCUUAUUUGUAAAAAAAAGAAAAAACAACGUAGUAACUACAUUAUUGUUGCCG